CACGUAUUUAGCCGGUGCUUCUUAGUCAGGUACCGUCAUUGUUCUUCCCUGCUGAUAGGGCUUUACAUACCGAAAUACUCCUUCACCCACGCGGCGUCGCUGCAUCAGGGUUCCCCCCAUUGUGCAAUAUUCCCCACUGCUGCCUCCCGUAGGAGUUUGGGCCGUGUCUCAGUCCCAAUGUGGCCGGUUGCCCUCUCAGGCCGGCUACUGAUCGUCGGUUUGGUGGGCCGUUACCCCGCCAACUGCCUAAUCAGACGCGGGCCCAUCCCAUACCGCGAAAGCUUUCCAUCCAGGGGCAUGCGCCCCCGCAUGUGCAUGCGGUAUUAGCAGCCGUUUCCGGCUGUUAUCCCCCUGUAUGGGGCAGGUUACCCACGCGUUACUCACCCGUCCGCCACUCAGUCACGCGGCCUUCCACCCCGGAGGGCUUCCGUCCCCGUGCUUCGUUCGACUUGCAUGUGUUAAGCACGCCGCCAGCGUUCAUCCUGAGCCAGGAUCAAACUCU
rnacentral:rRNA from 1 species